rnacentral:tRNA from 1 species
UCCAUGGUGGCUCAGAGGUAAAGAAUCUGCCUGCAAUGCAGGAGACCUGGGUUAGAUCCCUAGGUAGGGAA